rnacentral:misc_RNA from 1 species
CAACUUUUAUCCCAAGUUCCUUUGCCAAUGGCUUAUUGUCUUGGUUGCAGUCAAGCUUUAGAAAGACAACGUCAAGAUAUUUCUCAGACAAUUCUUGAAAUUUGGGGGCCAUCACUUUGCAUGGUCCACACCAUUGGGUGUACAUAUCGAGCACAACGGUUUUAUCACCGGCGGCAUUGACAAUGGGCCAGAAAGUGUCCUUGUUGACCUCAGUGACUUGGCCAACAGUGG